CUGAGGAGGAGGUGAUAAAGCAAAAUCAGAGGCUGGGGCUGAAGCCCAAUUCCUUUGUAUUCAUCUCCGAAAAAUUCCCGUUUAUUAUCAGCACUGAAAAUGGCAGCUCUUAGUAUGGGUUUCUUAAAUUCAACGUCCUUGCCGGGCUUUAUGUAUGGAGGAAGAUGGAGACAAGGGAAGCUUGUGCCAAGUAAACUCAAUUUUUUUGGAAGCAAGCAGAGGGUGACAUUAAUCUGUGCAGUCAAUAGUGAUGCUGAAAAAUCUUUCAAAAAGACUGUGGAAGUGGAUAGACUCAUAGACAUGCUGAGGGAUGCAGAUGAUAGAGAACUCCAUCAAUUAGUGGCAGAGAAUGUUCUUGCAUUCAAUGAGGGCUUUUGGAUACGACUGGCUACUAGAACGGAAACCUGCAAAUCUCAAGAUGACAAAAAAGAUUACGAAGAAUUGGCGGCAUUGUUGAUGAGUUUGGUGGAUCGACUGGUCCACAAAACUAAUGAAAAGAUAGAUUCAGCUACUGAUGUGCUUAAAGCAAUCCUGAAACCUGUUGUUGAUGAAACAGAAGAAAUUCCAUGGCCUCCUAGAGAUCCUGAGGCACUUGCUCUCAUGCAAAAAGAACUAAACCAAAGAGAACAAGAAGGUCAUCUUGAUGAAGGCUUCCUUUCAGAAGUUAAUGCACAGCUGCGGCAAGUUAAAGAAGAUGGUGAUAAGCCGGGGCUUGAGGCAAUGUUACAGAAGGUUUUCCAACUGUAUGCCUCUAGAGUUCUUUCCAAACGUAGUUAUGCCAAAAAAGGAAAUGAGGUACUGAAGGAUGAGCAUUUUCUCGAGACCUUAAUUCAAGCUCCAGAAGCUGAAUGGAAUAUCCUCUUAAUAAAUGGAUUAUCCAUUGGCAAAGGUGAUGUUUCACCUGACGAGCUCUAUGCUGUUGUGAAGAAACGAAUUGAACGGGUAUUAAUUCGAACUGAAGGCGGAUCGUAUCAACAGCGCAUUCUUACCGAGUAUCUUAAAGGCAUUCAAACUAGAGCAGAAGAGGUUGCCCGUGCGCUCCAAGGUUAGGUAUCCACCCGAUCGUCAAGACGCUACUAUGGCUGCUUUGCAACAUUAAGAGUAUAACAAAUCUCUCCUCAACUGAAGAAUUUUACUGUUUCUGCAAAGAAUAGACUACGAAGGGUCCAUUCAGUGAUUAGUUGAUGAAGGCCGUAAUACCAACCGUUUGAGUUCGUAAUUCCGCAUCAAGGAAUUUGAUGGAUCCAGGUAUGUUAAUUAUGUGGUUUUAUCAUAUAAAUCGCUAUAUGACAUAUGAAUUUGAGAUAUGCCGAGUGCAUCAUAUAUAAAAUUGAUUUUAUCGCACAUUA